CUCCUGCUGCCAUCAGCUGCCCUCAAGGGAAACACCUUCCUAACCCUAAAUUAGGCUUCCCACUGUCUAUUAAAGGACAGUGUGCCCUCUACCUCCAACGGGCUUUCUCUUCAUCUUCCCCACAAGCAAGAUCAUCUGGCAGAGUUGAGCAGCAGACGAUUGGUUCCACUGUGCCGUGGUGUGUGUCAGCAGUGCAGCAUUUGGCCUGGCGCCUGGCUGUAGCAAUGAUGAGCCCAUGUGCUGGUUCCGUGAUUCCGGGUGCAGUGUGCGAUGGUGCUGCAUAUUGC
rnacentral:telomerase_RNA from 1 species